AUGCUAGAGAAAUGUGAGCAAUAUUACUAUUAUGAUCACCCUGUGAUUGGUUAUACAGAAGAAAAACAGCUCAUUUGUGUGCCAGACUGUGCUGCUGUGGGCACAGAGACUCAAUAUUUCGGGGCUGGCUCCCGGCUCAUCGUUCUAGAUAACCUGGAAAGGGUGACUCCCCCAAAGGUGACUGUGUUUCAGCCAUCUGAGGAAGAGAUUGAGACAAAAGGAAAGGCCACUCUGGUCUGUCUGGCCACAGGCUUCUACCCUGACCUUGUGGAGCUGAGCUGGUGGGUGAAUGGGCAGGAGACCAAAAUUGGGGUCGGCACAGACCCUGAGCCUUCCAAGGAGCAUCCCAAUGAAGAACACUCCAGCUACUCCCUGAGCAGCCGCCUCCGGAUUUCUGCUCCCUUCUGGCGCAAUCCCAAGAACAGCUUUCGUUGCCAAGUUCGGUUUUAUGGCAUCGCAGAGAAUGAGACCUGGACAAGUACCCGGAGCAAACCUGUCACCCAGAAUGUCAGUGACCAGAUCUGGGGAAAGGCAGAUUGCGGGAUCACCUCUGAGUCCUAUCAGGAUAGUAUCCAGUCUGCCACCUUUUUGUAUGAAAUCCUCCUGGGGAAGGCUAUGCUAUAUGGUCUGCUGGUCAGUAUCCUGGUGUUGAGAACCAUGGCCAAGAAAAACUAUUCUUGAAGCCAGCUGUGGACCAGAGAGCAGAGUUCUAAGAGCAAAGGACCUUCAUUCUUUCAUCACCCCAGCUUGGCUCCUCCUUUAUCCAUUUCCAGCCUGUGUUCCAGAAUAAUUGUUCUUCCUUCUCUCCUCAUCUGUAUCCCUCAUAAAAUUCCUCAAAGAGAACUAUGUAAGCCAGAAGGGGCAAAGGUGGUGGAUUAAUCUGAAAGCAAUAAAAAUAUCUU